rnacentral:rRNA from 1 species
CGUAGGGGGCUAGCGUUGUCCGGAAUCAUUGGGCGUAAAGCGCGUGUAGGCGGUUCGGUAAGUCCGCUGUGAAAGUCGGGGGCUCAACCCUCGGAUGCCGGCGGAUACUGUCGGACUAGAGUGCGGAAGAGGCGAGUGGAAUUCCUGGUGUAGCGGUGAAAUGCGCAGAUAUCAGGAGGAACACCGAUUGCGAAGGCAGCUCGCUGGGACGUUACUGACGCUGAGACGCGAAAGCGUGGGGAGCAAACAGGAUUAGAUACCCUGGUAGUCCACGCCGUAAACGAUGGGCACUAGGUGUGGGGGGUGUCGACUCCCUCCGUGCCGAAGCUAACGCAUUAAGUGCCCCGCCUGGGGAGUACGGCCGCAAGGCUA